AUGCAACAAAAGGCGAAAGAAAUUGAAAUCGUACCGACCAGAGAAAGUCCAGAGCCUGAUUCAAGCCGUCGAGGAGAAGGGAAUUCUGAAGUUAAACCUAGGAUUGGCUUAAAGCAAACUUGUAACUGGUUAGUGUUUGAUGUAAGCCUGAUAUGGUGCCCAGUUCCGGUAGCAGGUGGACGGUUUGAUGUUGAUUGGAUUCGUUCUUGUUAA